GAUGGAUUGAUGAUUGGUUUUUACCUCCACCAGAUGGUUCGUAGUGUUGAUUUUUUACAGCAGGAGACAUGAGAUGCUAAGAAAAAAACCCCGAUCUAAGUUAAGAAAACUGACAAUCCUACACUAGUAAAUUAAGAUAGAACGCACCUGCUACUGUUUGAACUCACGACAUCAAGGUUGACAAGCAAGUGAUACAGUAGAUAAACUUUUAAGACAACUUGUCCACCGAGGCCCACCACUGAGACUAAGAUUAAGAACCAACAUAGUACUUCCAUAAAUAUACCUAAUGGGAUUGAUGUAAAACAAAUGCAUUUUAGAACCCGUUGACAAAAUUACGAACGAAACAUUAAUACUUACUGAAAAACAAUAAUUUAGGGGUCGGUUGAUUUUUU
rnacentral:lncRNA from 1 species